rnacentral:tRNA from 1 species
ACGCCGGUAGUUCAAUUGGUAGAGCAUCGGUCUCCAAAACCGACUGUUGAGGGUUCAAGUCCUUCCCGGCGUGCCA